UGGGGAAUAUUGCGCAAUGGGCGAAAGCCUGACGCAGCGACGCCGCGUGGGGGAUGAAGGCCUUCGGGUUGUAAACCCCUUUCAGCAGGGACGAAGCGAGAGUGACGGUACCUGCAGAAGAAGCGCCGGCUAACUACGUGCCAGCAGCCGCGGUAACACGUAGGGCGCAAGCGUUGUCCGGAAUUAUUGGGCGUAAAGAGCUCGUAGGCGGUCUGUUGCGUCCGCUGUGAAAUCUCGGGGCUUAACCCCGAGCCUGCAGUGGAUACGGGCAGACUAGAGGUAGGUAGGGGAGAAUGGAAUUCCCGGUGUAGCGGUGAAAUGCGCAGAUAUCGGGAGGAACACCGGUGGCGAAGGCGGUUCUCUGGGCCUUACCUGACGCUGAGGAGCGAAAGCGUGGGGAGCAAACAGGAUUAGAUACCCUGGUAGUCCACGCCGUAAACGUUGGGCGCUAGGUGUGGGAUCCUUCCACGGAUUCCGUGCCGCAGCUAACGCAUUAAGCGUCCCGCCUGGGGAGUACGGCCGCAAGGU
rnacentral:rRNA from 1 species